AGAGCCCAGACCGACAGCUAAGGUCCCAAAGUGUGUGUUAAGUGGAAAAGGAUGUUAGGUUUCUAAGACAACUAGGAUGUUGGCUCAGAAGCAGCCACUCAUUUAAAGAGUGCGUAACAGCUCACUAGUCGAGAGGUCUAGCGCCGAAAAUGUCCGGGGCUAAAACACACCACCGAAGCUACGGAAUUACCUAUGGUAAUUGGUAGAGGAGCAUUCUGUAAGGAUGAAGCACAAUUGAAAGAGAGUGUGGACGAAACAGAAGAGAGAAUGCCGGAAUGAGUAGCGAGAUAUAUGUGAGAAUCAUAUAGGUCGAAUGUCUAAGGUUUCCUGGGUAAAGCUGAUCUGCUCAGGGUAAGUCGGGACCUAAGGUGAGGGCGAGAGCCGUAAUCGAUGGACAACAGGUAGAAAUUCCUGUACUACGUAUAAUCAGAACUGUGGGGACGCAGGAGGAUAGGAAAACCGGAGAAUGGAAAAAUCCGGCUAAGUACAAAGGUGUGAGUGAUAGGCAAAUCCGUCACUAUUAGCUGAAGUACGAAUGGGAGCGAAGAAAAGUAGCGAAGUUUCUGAAUCCACACUGUCAAGAAAAGCCGCUAUUGCGUUAUACGUACCCGUACCGCAAACCGACACAGGUAGACGAGGAGAAAAUCCACAGACCGACGGGAGAAGUGUUGUUAAGGAACUCGGCAAAAUGACCCCGUAACUUAGGGAUAAGGGGAGCCAACGCAAGUUGGUCACAGAAAAGAGGCUCAAGCGACUGUUUAGCAAAAACAUAGGUCUAUGCGAAACCGUAAGGUGAUGUAUAUGGGCUGACACCUGCCCGGUGCUGGAAGGUCAAAAGGAGAGGUUAGCGUAAGCGAAGCUUUGAAUUCAAGCCCCAGUAAACGGCGGCCGUAACUAUAACGGUCCUAAGGUAGCGAAAUUCCUUGUCAGGUAAGUUCUGACCCGCACGAAAGGUGUAACGAUUUGAGCACUGUCUCGACAACACGCCCGGUGAAAUUGAAGAACCAGUGAAGAUACUGGUUACCCGCAACAGGACGGAAAGACCCCAUGGAGCUUUACUGCAGCUUAAUAUUGGGAUUCGGUAUUGUAUGUACAGGAUAGGAGGGAGACUAAGAAGCUAGCACGCCAGUGUUGGUGGAGUCGAUGGUGGGAUACCUCUCUUAUAAUACUGAAUUUCUAACCUACUUCCGUGAUCCGGAAGAGGGACAUUGUUAGGCGGGCAGUUUGACUGGGGCGGUCGCCUCCGAAAGAGUAACGGAGGCGCUCAAAGGUCUUCUCAGAAUGAUUGGAAACCAUUCAAAGAGUGUAAAGGCAAAAGAAGGCUUGACUGCGAGAGUGACAACUCGAGCAGGUACGAAAGUAGGACUUAGUGAUCCGGUGGUAACAAGUGGGAGUGCCAUCGCUUAACGGAUAAAAGCUACCCUGGGGAUAACAGGCUUAUCUCCCCCAAGAGUUCACAUCGACGGGGAGGUUUGGCACCUCGAUGUCGGCUCA
rnacentral:rRNA from 1 species